CCAUGAUUCCCGGUCUUCAAGGUGUUAAAAAGCUAAUUCUGGGCUGCAAAGUGUGGAGUUCUCUAGAAGAAUCCAGAGAAGCAAAGACUCAAGAAGGUGGGGCCUUGAGAUCAAAGUGUGGGCAAAGUUUCCUCACCCCUCACUGAUGUCACCGUGGGCCGCUCUGUACUGUUCCUGUCCCCGGAGGCCUGCACAACAUUCCCCCGCGGCUGCCAGAGGCGUCCUCCUCUUCCAGCUUGAUCCUCAGCUUAGUGGACGGGGUCCUGGCCACCUGCUUCCGUCACACCCUGUUGGAUGACCACCGCCACCCUCUCCGUCUGACAAGAGCCUGGACUUCAGUGCAGGGGGUCAGGCGGGGUGUGCACUGACAGCAUCUGUGAUGACUUUUUCGAGUAGCCCUGUGCCGAGGGAGAGGACAUCAGCCAGCAAAAGCCACCUCGAGGGUGGAGGGACCACUGGAGGCCGGAGAAUGGUUUCUGUGCUUUUUGAACAAGAGGCCCAGCAUUUUCUUUUUCUUUUUUUGGUACCAGGGAUAGAACUUGGGUCCUUGCGCUUGCGCAGCAGGAGGAAUUUCACAGCCAGAAAAUACUGGGACACCCCCAUCACAACCAAGCCUUUCCUGGGAGCGAUGAAACAGCUGAGGGCACAGCGGGCAGAUGCUGGCCACCACUGUCCCAAGCUGGGGCUCCCGGCAUGAGGCCACCUCCUCCACACCCCACCCCAGCCAUGAUGGCACGAGCCCCUUCCACGAGCGCAGAAUCUGCACACGUGCCUCAGGGCAGGAAUCUGAAUUCGGGGAAAAACAUGACUCAAUCUGGCGUGGGCUACGGUGACCUUGCUGUUUGCAGCUGAAAGCACCUGAUCUCGAUGGGAUCCCAGGUCCAGAAGCCACACAUGGUGACUCAGGAGAUCUGAGUGGUUCUGCCCUGGCCUCCCAGACACUGGUCCAGCCCCACUGUCCUCAGGCACUACAGAGUAAGCAAGUCCGUUUUCUGAGAAUUUGCAUCCAAGAAACGAGAAGAAAUGUGUGGCUGAACAUUGCUCCAAACAUAGUCAUGGAGAAACAAAGACACGCCAACAGCACACGGGCAAAAAUAACUAACUGCAUAGUUACCACAAAAACAAUCUAAUGCACUUAUUUUGUAGCGAAAAAAUAGAUCCACUCUGUAGCAGAGUUAAAACCAUUGGAAGUAAUGAUAAUUGCUUGUGAACCAGACCCGCCCCUUCCCUGCAGCUCCCUG
rnacentral:lncRNA from 1 species